rnacentral:rRNA from 1 species
UUUGGUGGCGAUAGCGAAGAGGUCACACCCGUUCCCAUGCCGGACACGGAAGUUAAGCUCUUCAGCGCCGAUGGUAGUCGGGGGUUUCCCCCUGUGAGAGUAGGACGCCGCCAAGC